rnacentral:rRNA from 1 species
AACGCGAAGAACCUUACCCACCUUUGACAUGUACGGAAUUCGCCAGAGAUGGCUUAGUGCUCGAAAGAGAACCGUAACACAGGUGCUGCAUGGCUGUCGUCAGCUCGUGUCGUGAGAUGUUGGGUUAAGUCCCGCAACGAGCGCAACCCUUGUCAUUAGUUGCUACAUUUAGUUGGGCACUCUAAUGAGACUGCCGGUGACAAACCGGAGGAAGGUGGGGAUGACGUCAAGUCCUCAUGGCCCUUAUAGGUGGGGCUACACACGUCAUACAAUGGCUGGUACAAAGGGUUGCCAACCCGCGAGGGGGAGCUAAUCCCAUAAAACCAGUCGUAGUCCGGAUCGCAGUCUGCAACUCGACUGCGUGAAGUCGGAAUCGCUAGUAAUCGUGGAUCAGCAUGUCACGGUGAAUACGUUCCCGGGUCUUGUACACACC